AUAGUUCUAUCCUACACAAUUACUCGCUAACAAAGGUUAUUCGUCCAAAUCAAUGCAUAUUGAACACAUUUUUUUUGUUUGUUAAA